AACGAACGCUGGCGGCAGGCUUAACACAUGCAAGUCGAACGCACCUUUCGGGGUGAGUGGCAGACGGGUGAGUAACGCGUGGGAAUCUACCCUUCUCUACGGGAUAGCUCCGGGAAACUGGAAUUAAUACCGUAUACGUCCUGAGGGAGAAAGAUUUAUCGGGGAAGGAUGAGCCCGCGUUGGAUUAGCUAGUUGGUGGGGUAAAGGCCUACCAAGGCGACGAUCCAUAGCUGGUCUAAGAGGAUGAUCAGCCACAUUGGGACUGAGACACGGCCCAAACUCCUACGGGAGGCAGCAGUGGGGAAUAUUGGACAAUGGGCGCAAGCCUGAUCCAGCCAUGCCGCGUGAGUGAUGAAGGCCCUAGGGUUGUAAAGCUCUUUCAGUGGGGACGAUAAUGACUGUACCCACAGAAGAAGCCCCGGCUAACUUCGUG
rnacentral:rRNA from 1 species